rnacentral:rRNA from 1 species
GACGAACGCUGGCGGCGUGCCUAAUACAUGCAAGUCGAGCGAGCUUGCCUAGAUGAAUUUGGUGCUUGCACCAAAUGAAACUAGAUACAAGCGAGCGGCGGACGGGUGAGUAACACGUGGGUAACCUGCCCAAGAGACUGGGAUAACACCUGGAAACAGAUGCUAAUACCGGAUAACAACACUAGACGCAUGUCUAGAGUUUAAAAGAUGGUUCUGCUAUCACUCUUGGAUGGACCUGCGGUGCAUUAGCUAGUUGGUAAGGUAACGGCUUACCAAGGCAAUGAUGCAUAGCCGAGCUGAGAGACUGAUCGGCCACAUUGGGACUGAGACACGGCCCAAACUCCUACGGGAGGCAGCAGUAGGGAAUCUUCCACAAUGGACGCAAGUCUGAUGGAGCAACGCCGCGUGAGUGAAGAAGGGUUUCGGCUCGUAAAGCUCUGUUGGUAGUGAAGAAAGAUAGAGGUAGUAACUGGCCUUUAUUUGACGGUAAUUACUUAGAAAGUCACGGCUAACUACGUGCCAGCAGCCGCGGUAAUACGUAGGUGGCAAGCGUUGUCCGGAUUUAUUGGGCGUAAAGCGAGUGCAGGCGGUUCAAUAAGUCUGAUGUGAAAGCCUUCGGCUCAACCGGAGAAUUGCAUCAGAAACUGUUGAACUUGAGUGCAGAAGAGGAGAGUGGAACUCCAUGUGUAGCGGUGGAAUGCGUAGAUAUAUGGAAGAACACCAGUGGCGAAGGCGGCUCUCUGGUCUGCAACUGACGCUGAGGCUCGAAAGCAUGGGUAGCGAACAGG